CGCGGCCUAUCAGCUUGUUGGUGGGGUAAUGGCCUACCAAGGCGACGACGGGUAGCCGGCCUGAGAGGGCGACCGGCCACACUGGGACUGAGACACGGCCCAGACUCCUACGGGAGGCAGCAGUGGGGAAUAUUGCACAAUGGGCGAAAGCCUGAUGCAGCGACGCCGCGUGAGGGAUGACGGCCUUCGGGUUGUAAACCUCUUUCAGCAGGGAAGAAGCUUUUGUGACGGUACCUGCAGAAGAAGCACCGGCUAACUACGUGCCAGCAGCCGAGGUAAUACGUAGGGUGCGAGCGUUGUCCGGAAUUAUUGGGCGUAAAGGGCUUGUAGGCGGUUUGUCGCGUCUGCUGUGAAAAUUCAGGGCUUAACCCUGGACGUGCAGUGGGUACGGGCAGACUAGAGUAUGGUAGGGGAGACUGGAAUUCCUGGUGUAGCGGUGGAAUGCGCAGAUAUCAGGAGGAACACCGAUGGCGAAGGCAGGUCUCUGGGCCAUUACUGACGCUGAGAAGCGAAAGCAUGAGGAGCGAACAGGAUUAGAUACCCUGGUAGUCCAUGCCGUAAACGUUGGGCGCUGGGCGUGGGUCUCAUUCCACGAGAUCCGUGUCGCAGCUAACGCAUUAAGCGCCCCGCCUGGGGAGUACGG
rnacentral:rRNA from 1 species